rnacentral:rRNA from 1 species
CCUACGGGGAGCAGCAGUGAGGAAUAUUGGUCAAUGGACGAGAGUCUGAACCAGCCAAGUAGCGUGAAGGAUGACUGCCCUAUGGGUUGUAAACUUCUUUUAUAAAGGAAUAAAACGAGGCACGUGUGCCUUUUUGCAUGUACUUUAUGAAUUAGGAUCGGCUAACUCCGCUCCAGCAGCCGCGGUAAUACGGAGGAUCCGACCGUUAGUCUGAUUUAUUUGGUUUAAAGGGGGCGUCGAUGGGUUGUUAAGUCAGUUGUGAAAGUUUGCGGCUCAACCGUAAAAUUGCAAUUGAUACUGGCAGUCUAGAGUACAGUUGAGGUAGGCGGAAUUCGUGGUGUAGCGGUGAAAUGCUUAGAUAUCACGAAGAACCCCGAUUGCGAAGGCAGCUUACUAAACUGUGACUGACAUUGAUGCUCGAAAGUGUGGGUAGCAAACAGGAUUAGAUACCCCAGUAGUC